UUAAAUUGAAGAGUUUGAUCAUGGCUCAGAUUGAACGCUGGCGGCAGGCCUAACACAUGCAAGUCGAACGGUAACAGGAAGCAGCUUGCUGCUUCGCUGACGAGUGGCGGACGGGUGAGUAAUGUCUGGGAAACUGCCUGAUGGAGGGGGAUAACUACUGGAAACGGUAGCUAAUACCGCAUAAUGUCGCAAGACCAAAGAGGGGGACCUUCGGGCCUCUUGCCAUCGGAUGUGCCCAGAUGGGAUUAGCUUGUUGGUGGGGUAACGGCUCACCAAGGCGACGAUCCCUAGCUGGUCUGAGAGGAUGACCAGCCACACUGGAACUGAGACACGGUCCAGACUCCUACGGGAGGCAGCAGUGGGGAAUAUU
rnacentral:rRNA from 1 species